rfam:Pyrenochaeta sp. DS3sAY3a unplaced genomic scaffold IQ07scaffold_10, whole genome shotgun sequence.
GGCCCCAUGGCGCAAUGGUAGCGCGUCAGAUUCCAGUUUUGUACCGGAGUAUCCUGAAGGUUUUGCGUUCGAGUCGCAAUGGGGUCA